rnacentral:rRNA from 2 species
AGGAUUCCCCUAGUAACUGCGAGUGAAGCGGGAAAAGCUCAAAUUUAAAAUCUGGCAGUCUUUGGCUGUCCGAGUUGUAAUCUAGAGAAGCAUUAUCCGCGCUGGACCGUGUACAAGUCUCCUGGAAUGGAGCGUCAUAGAGGGUGAGAAUCCCGUCUUUGACACGGACUGCCAGGGCUUUUGUGAUGUGCUCUCAAAGAGUCGAGUUGUUUGGGAAUGCAGCUCAAAAUGGGUGGUAAAUUCCAUCUAAAGCUAAAUAUUGGCGAGAGACCGAUAGCGAACAAGUACCGUGAGGGAAAGAUGAAAAGAACUUUGGAAAGAGAGUUAAACAGUACGUGAAAUUGCUGAAAGGGAAACGCUUGAAGUCAGUCGCGUUGUCCAGGGAUCAACUCUUGCUUUUGCUUGGUGUACUUCCUGGUUAACGGGUCAGCAUCAAUUUUGACUAUUGGAAAAAGAUCAAGGGAAUGUGGCAUCUUUAGAUGUGUUAUAGCCCUUGGUUGCAUACAUUAGUUGGGAUUGAGGAACUCAGCACGCCGAAAGGCCGAGUGUUUAACUACGUACGUGCUUAGGAUGCUGGCAAAAUGGCUUUAAUCGACCCGUCUUGAAACACGGACCAAGGAGUCUAACAUGCCUGCGAGUGUUUGGGUGGAAAACCCGAGCGCGCAAUGAAAGUGAAAGUUGAGAUCCCUGUCGUGGGGAGCAUCGACGCCCGGACUUGACCUUUUGUGACGGUUCCGCGGUAGAGCAUGUAUGUUGGGACCCGAAAGAUGGUGAACUAUGCCUGAAUAGGGUGAAGCCAGAGGAAACUCUGGUGGAGGCUCGUAGCGAUUCUGACGUGCAAAUCGAUCGUCAAAUUUGGGUAUAGGGGCGAAAGACUAAUCGAACCAUCUAGUAGCUGGUUCCUGCCGA